GGGCGGGUAGCGUAGUGGUCAGCGCGUUCCUAAGCGUUUCAGCGUUUGUUCUCUUCAUUGUGUUCUAUUCAGCGUUUAGCGAAAGACCUGGGUUCGAACCCCAGCCCGCCCA